rnacentral:misc_RNA from 1 species
GAAACGCGAUAGUUAAUGCGAAUUGCAGAAUUCAGUGAAUCAUCGAGUCUUUGAACGCACAUUGCGCCCAUAGGUAUUCCUUUGGGCAUGUCUGUUUGAGCGUCAUUACAACCCUCAGCUAACCGCUGGUUUUGAACCUGAACGGGUGACACCGCGCCGGUUUUAAAGUUGUAAGCUCUGCUGGCCGCUCUGCCCAACCAGAACAUAGUAAGCACUACUUGUCCGGGUGAAGCUGAACGGUACGGCCUGAACAAAACCUACCCACUCUCAAGGUUUGACAUCAGAUCAGAUAAGGAUACCCGCUGAACUUAAGC